UACGUAGGUGGCAAGCGUUGUCCGGAAUUAUUGGGCGUAAAGCGCGCGUAGGCGGACCUGCAAGUCGGGGGUGAAAGCCCGAGGCUCAACCUCGGAACUGCCUUCGAUACUGCGGGUCUCGAGUCCGGGAGGAGGUGAGUGGAAUUCCGUAGUGUAGAGGUGAAAUUCGUAGAUAUUAGGAAGAACACCAGUGGCGAAGGCGGCUCACGUGCCCGGUACGUGACGCUGAGGCACGGAAAGCGAUGGGGAGCAAACAGGG
rnacentral:rRNA from 1 species